AGCAGCCGCGGUAAUUCCAGCUCCAAUAGCGUAUAUUAAAGUUGUUGCAGUUAAAAAGCUCGUAGUUGAAUUUCGGGGUUAGUAGGUUGGUCAUGCCUCUGGUAUGUACUGGUCUCACUGAUUCCUCCUUCCUGAUGAACCUUAAUGCCAUUUAUUUGGUGUUUUGGGGAAUUUGGACUGUUACUUUGAAAAAAUUAGAGUGUUUAAAGCAAGCUAACGCUUGAAUACAUUAGCAUGGAAUAAUGAAAUAGGACGUUCGAUCCUAUUUUGUUGGUUUCUAGGAUUGACGUAAUGAUUAAUAGGGAUAGUUGGGGGCAUUAGUAUUCAAUUGUCAGAGGUGAAAUUCUUGGAUUUAUUGAAGACUAACUACUGCGAAAGCAUUUGCCAAGGAUGUUUUCAUUAAUCAAGAACGAAAGUUAGGGGAUCGAAGACGAUCAGAUACCGUCGUAGUCUUAACCAUAAACUAUG
rnacentral:rRNA from 1 species